rnacentral:rRNA from 1 species
AAUUUUGGACAAUGGGGGAAACCCUGAUCCAGCCAUCCCGCGUGUAUGAUGAAGGCCUUCGGGUUGUAAAGUACUUUUGGCUGAGAAGAAAAGGUACCUCCUAAUACGAGGUACUGCUGACGGUAUCUCCAGAAUAAGCACCGGCUAACUACGUGCCAGCAGCUGCGGUAAUACGUAGGGUGCAAGCGUUAAACGGAAUUACUGGGCGUAAAGCAUGUGUAGGCAGUUCGGAAAGAAAGAUGUGAAAUCACAGGGCUCAACCUUGGAACUGCAUUUUUAACAGCCGGGCUAGAGUAUGUCAGAGGGGGGUAGAAUUCCACGUGUAGCAGUGAAAUGCGUAGAUAUGUGGAGGAAUACCGAUGGCGAAGGCAGCCCCCUGGGAUAAUACUGACGCUCAGACACGAAAGCGUGGGGAGCAAACA